rnacentral:lncRNA from 1 species
CGGCCAGCACGAGGGAGCUGAGCGGGAGCGGGCCGGACCCGAGGAAGGCGACGCGGGCCGGGGCGGGGCCGGGGACGUGGCGGGCGAGGAGGCCGUGCUCCAGCUGGCUGAGCUUGAUGUAGUUGUUGAAGUAGGGGAAGAGGGUGAGGUGGUCGAGCGGGUUGUCGUGGGCGGCGAGGAGGUCGGAGUAGUGCGCCUCCAGGUGGCCCUCGGCGUCGGCGCAGAGGCGGAUGAGGCGGGCGCGCAUCUCCUGCGCGUCCGGGCCCAGCGCGUCGACGUCGACGGUGCUGGGCGGGAUGCAGGACGUGACGAGCUCGGUGAAGAGCGCGUUCACCUCCGGCGACGGGCUGAGCGAGGGCAGCUCGCCGAUGGCCGCGGCGAGGCCGGUGAUCUUCUUCACCAGGGCCUCCUCCUCCAUCACCUUCUUGUUGCUGCA